GACGAACGCUGGCGGCGUGCUUAACACAUGCAAGUCGAGCGGAAAGGCUCCUUCGGGGGUACUCGAGCGGCGAACGGGUGAGUGACACGUGAGCAAUCUGCCCCUGGCUUUGGGAUAGCCACCGGAAACGGUGAUUAAUACCGGAUAUGACCACUACACGCAUGUGUUGGUGGUGGAAAGUUUUUCGGCCAGGGAUGUGCUCGCGGCCUAUCAGCUUGAUGGUGAGGUAAUGGCUCACCAUGGCUUCGACGGGUAGCCGGCCUGAGAGGGUGGCCGGUCACACUGGGACUGAGACACGGCCCAGACUCCUACGGGAGGCAGCAGUGGGGAAUAUUGGACAAUGGGCGGAGGCCUGAUCCAGCAACGCCGCGUGAGGGAUGACGGCCUUCGGGUUGUAAACCUCUUUCAGUACCGACGAAGCGCAAGUGACGGUAGGUACAGAAGAAGCACCGGCCAACUACGUGCCAGCCGCCGCUGUAAAAC
rnacentral:rRNA from 1 species